AUUCCUACGGGAGGCAGCAGUGAGGAAUAUUGGUCAAUGGGAGAGAUCCUGAACCAGCCAAGCCGCGUGAGGGAAGACGGCCCUAUGGGUUGUAAACCUCUUUUGUCGGAGAACAAAACCCGGGACGUGUCCCGGACUGCGUGUAUCCGAAGAAAAAGCAUCGGCUAACUCCGUGCCAGCAGCCGCGGUAAUACGGAGGAUGCGAGCGUUAUCCGGAUUUAUUGGGUUUAAAGGGUGCGCAGGCGGGCUGUUAAGCCGGCGGUUAAAAUUUAGGGCUCAACCC
rnacentral:rRNA from 1 species